rnacentral:rRNA from 1 species
UGGCCUACGGGGGGCAGCAGUGGGGAAUAUUGCACAAUGGGGGGAACCCUGAUGCAGCGACGCCGCGUGGGUGAAGGAGCACCUCGGUGCGUAAAGCCCUAUCGGCAGGGAAGAAACAGACGGUACCUGACUAAGAAGCCCCGGCUAACUACGUGCCAGCAGCCGCGGUAAUACGUAGGGGGCAAGCGUUAUCCGGAUUUACUGGGUGUAAAGGGGGCGCAGACGGCAGCGCAAGCCAGGAGUGAAAGCCCGGGGCCCAACCCCGGGACUGCUCUUGGAACUGCGCGGCUGGAGUGCAGGAGGGG